UACGUAGGGUGCGAGCGUUAAUCGGAAUUACUGGGCGUAAAGCGUGCGCAGGCGGCGCGUUAAGACAGGUGUGAAAGCCCCGAGCUUAACUUGGGAAUUGCGCUUGUGACUGGCGUGCUGGAGUGUGGCAGAGGGAGGUGGAAUUCCACGUGUAGCAGUGAAAUGCGUAGAUAUCAGGAGGAACACCGGUGGCGAAGGCGCACAUCUGGCCCGAUACUGACGCUGAGGCGCGAAAGCUAGGGGAGCAAACGGG
rnacentral:rRNA from 1 species